GCCAAAUAUGCAUUAUAAUACUUCAGCUAAUUAUAUAGCCCUUCGCAGCAGGCUGCUGGCUUUACAACCCCUCUCGGAUAUAACAGGCUAAUGCAUAAUGGAGCCACCUUGACCCCAUAAAGCACCCAGGGCUCCCUGUCCCCUCAGAAGCACACUUCGACCUGUCACACUUGAUCUACCGUUUAAUUUGAUGCUGGAGCCUGCAAAUUUCUGCUACACCAUCACAGGUUGUGUGGCUCUAUACCACAAGAAAGGCCAAUAGAAGCAUGUAUAAAUAUCCAACUGAAACAUCAAGCGUGCCCUUGUCAGUUUGAACUUGGGUAGCAAAAGCCAAACAGAUCCAGAGUGUCCAAUCAUGUCCGAUAUUGAUAAACAGGGCAAGCAUUUCACAUUAGACCCAGCAGUGCCAUUGAACUGUUUAGCAGUAUCAGAACAUCCCUGCAGGCGUUUUUAUUCUCAUGCUGGGUAGAAACAGGCAAAUAAUAAAAUGAGACUAGCCUAGGCUUGGCAGCCAUGGCUCAUGAUGCGGUGCAAUUAGUCUUUUGUUUGAUGUAGCAGAAUUCUUGUAAUAAUAAUAAAAAAGCUU